rnacentral:lncRNA from 7 species
AGUUACACUGAGGAAGCAGAGCUGUGGGAAGGCAGUUCUUGGCUCAGAGAUGAGGCUACACCAUCCCUGACACAGCAGAGAACCUCCCUACUGCUCUUGGUGUUUUUUGAGAAACAAUGCCAGAUUUAUUUUCUAAGACAUUUCAGAAAUUAUCAACAAAGAGGGUCUUCAGCCCAUUCAGCUCCCAAUAGUUUUCACAGAGCAUGAGAUCAUCUCUAACUAAAUCAUUGUUUUCCACAUUUCAGAACAGGGACAGAGCCCAGAAAGAAGUUGCAGUUUCUGUGUACUCAUGGACCAGUCACUUAGUGAAAAGUAACUGCAAGAUAGAUUUGGUCUGGAACUGAGAGACAAUCAGGAGAACAACUUGAAGGACUGGUGUGGUGUAAAGGAUCAUAUCUGAUGCAGACAGCUAUGAUAUUAUUAAGUACUCUGAGAAGAAUCAAUUUUAACGUUGAGUAGUUAUAUUGCUAUUUUAGCCCGUAAGCCUGUGUCUAAACAGUACAACUCUGUGCAAUUCAGAGAUACCCUGUCUUAAUAUAGCACAACCACAGUGCUUCACUCAGGCUAAUUUGGGAAGCAUGGUGCAGAACAUCUUACUGCACAGCUUCUGGGAGCCUGCCUAGUUCAACCAGAACUUGCUGAAAUAACUCAGCAUGGCAGGGCCCUGAGAUUGAUUUUUCUAGCUGUAACAUAAAAAUAACACCAGCUCAUCUUUUAAAGACAUUCUGAAAACAAAUUCAUCUAUGGAACACUUAGAUAAAAUGGAUACACGUGAUUUAAAAAUCCUACAGGUCACACAUAAUUCUGUAUUCAGUGCAGGGCCAGAAGGCAGAUGGUAAAUAAAGUUAGAGCUUUAAUGUACAAAGAAAGAAUAAGAUGUUUACAAAGCAACCUAUACAGCUAGAGCAUCUAUCAAGUAUUACCAAGCAAGCUAGAUUCAGUAGGAAAAAAUAAAAGUAGCAGUAAUGAAAGUUAAACAGAUAUGCCUCAGACAAAAGGAGGAAAAUGAAGGGGGUUUUGCCUCUUCAGUACAGUUAACACAAGCAGCUUGGCCUUUGCACCCAGAGCACACCACUGCCAGCACAGUGAUUUCUGCCGUGCUACCUGGGAGCCCUGUGACAGAGCCUUUUCCAUCUGCAUCAUCCUGAAAGCCCUGCGUGGGUGUGUGCACCCAUGAGGCCCCAGAACAACCUGAACUGACAAAGUAAGAGCAGCAGAAGCAGAGGAGGUUUCCCAAGGAGGACAGAUCUUCAGAGAAGACACUACAUUCUUCUUUGCGGUGAGGAUCCUACAAACCCACAGAAAUUGCCAGGAACAAGCAGAUGGGGACAAAACCACAGAAGAUGUCUACUGGGAAGAAAGAAUUCUGUCAUUCUGGCCAGCAUGGGAGGGGAAGAAGUGCUUCAGUCAUACCAUCCAGCAGAGAAUGGGAAAAGGGAAAAACACAACCUGAACCAGGGCGGGAGCUGAAAGGAAUACUGCAGCCAAAUCAAACACUUCCCAAAUGCUGGAACAGAGCAUAAGUCUAAAUACAGACGAACCCUGCUGGUUUUAUGAUCUGCAUAAAGAAGAUUAUCAAGGUAUCACUGCAGGGCUACAUACCAUUUUCAGAUACACCGCACAAGCUUUUAAAAAGCCCUGGCAAUUCUAGCAUAACUGUAUGCUAUUUGAUUUCUUCUUCCCAACAAUUAAGUUGUUGCCGUUUGGAGCCGAGUACCAAAGAUUCUUGUUUGUGCUUCCUAAUUUCUCCUUUUCUGCACCCAAAUGAAUAUUUUCUGAACACAGGAACUGGAAAAACUGGUCUUUUCACUCAAGCAUGUAAACAGCCAGUUCUCUAGGGAAAAAUAAUAACGGAAAACAAUAUUAACUGGGCGGACUGAACUCCAACCAACAGCUCCCCCUGUCAGCGAAUGUAAAGAGGAUCAAGAAAAGCAGAAAGUGAAGUUGCUUUGGAUCCGCAAAGGCACUGUGAUUGAAAGGAUGAAUUUUCCAGUGAAAGCAAGAAACAUUUAGUACAAGAACAGAGAUUCCUGCUUACAGUUUGUGAUGACAAGGAAUCUGGUAACACAGACAAUGCCUCAACAGAGUGAAUCUUCUCCACAGGUCAUUGAUAAAGUACUGCAAUCAACUGUAAUGUAAUACACAACUGAC